rnacentral:rRNA from 1 species
AACGAACGCUGGCGGCAUGCCUAACACAUGCAAGUCGAACGAGACCUUCGGGACUGGUGGCGCACGGGUGCGUAACGCGUGGGAACCUGCCGUUAGGUUCGGAAUAACUCCCCGACAUGGGGGCUAAUACCGGAUAAUGUCCUCGGACCAAAGAUUUGUCGCAUUUGUUUGGGCCGGCGUUGGUUUAGCUAGGUGGUAGGGUAAAAGCCAACCAAGGCUAAGAUCCAUAGCUGGGCUCAGAGGAAGAUCAGCCACACUUGGGGUGGGACCCGGCCGGGACUCCUACAGGAGGCAGGAGAGGCUAAUACAGGACAAUGGGCGAAGGCCUGAUCCAGCACGGCCGCGUGAGUGAUGAAGGCCGUAGAGUAGUAAAGCUCGUUUACCCGGGGUGAUACUGACGGUACCGAGAGAAUAAGCACCGGCUAACUCCGUG